rnacentral:rRNA from 1 species
CCUACGGGUGGCAGCAGUGAGGAAUAUUGGUCAAUGGCCGAGAGGCUGAACCAGCCAAGUCGCGUGAGGGAAGACGGCCCUACGGGUUGUAAACCUCUUUUGUCGGGGAGCAAAGAGAGUCACGUGUGACCCAUUGAGAGUACCCUAUGAAUAAGCAUCGGCUAACUCCGUGCCAGCAGCCGCGGUAAUACGGAGGAUGCGAGCGUUAUCCGGAUUUAUUGGUUUAAAGGGGGGCGCGGGGGGAGUGGCAAGUCAGCGGUCAAAUUUCGGGGCUAAACCUCGUACUGCCGUUGAAACUGGAAGUCUUGAGUGCACGAGAGGUAUGCGGAAUGCGUGGUGUAGCGGUGAAAUGCUUAGAUAUCACGCAGAACUCCGAUUGCGAAGGCAGCAUACCGGAGCGCAACUGACGCUCAUGCACGAAAGCGUGGGUAUCGAACAGGAUUAGAUACCCUAGUAGUC